UUUCCGGUUGAUCCCGCCGGAGGUUACUGCUAUCGAGGUUCGACUAAGCCAUGCGAGUCGAAUGUAGCAAUACAUGGCGUACUGCUCAGUAACACGUGGAUAACCUACCCUUGAGACGGGGAUAAACCCGGGAAACUGGGUAUAAUACCCGAUAGAUCUCGACUGCUGGAAUGCAUCGAGCUCGAAAGCUCCGGCGCUCAAGGAUGGGUCUGCGGCCUAUCAGGUAGUAGUGGGUGUAGCGUACCUACUAGCCUACGACGGGUACGGGUUGUGAGAGCAAGAGCCCGGAGAUGGAUUCUGAGACACGAAUCCAGGCCCUACGGGGUGCAGCAGGCGCGAAAACUUUACAAUGCUGGAAACAGCGAUAAGGGGACCUCGAGUGCCAGGUUACAAAUCUGGCUGUCGUGAUGCCUAAAAAGCAUUGCAUAGUAAGGGCCGGGCAAGACCGGUGCCAGCCGCCGCGGUAACACCGGCGGCUCGAGUGGUAGCCGUUAUUAUUGGGUCUAAAGGGUCUGUAGCCGGCCGGAUAAGUCUCUUGGGAAAUCUGGCAGCUUAACUGUCAGGCUUUCAGGAGAUACUGUCUGGCUCGAGGCCGGGAGAGGUGAGGGGUACUUCAGGGGUAGGGGUGAAAUCUUGUAAUCCUUGAAGGACCACCAGUGGCGAAGGCGUCUCACCAGAACGGACCUGACGGCAAGGGACGAAAGCUAGGGGCACGAACCGGAUUAGAUACCCGGGUAGUCCUAGCCGUAAACGAUACUCGCUAGGUGUCAGCCACGGUGCGACCGUGGUUGGUGCCGUAGGGAAGCCGUGAGGCGAGCCACCUGGGAAGUACGGCCGCAAGGUUGAGACUUAAAGGAAUUGGCGGGGGAGCACUACAACGGGUGGAGCUGCGGUUUAAUUGGAUUCAACGCCGGGA
rnacentral:rRNA from 1 species